UACGUAGGUGGCAAGCGUUGUCCGGAUUUACUGGGUGUAAAGGGCGUGCAGCCGGAGAGACAAGUCAGAUGUGAAAUCCACGGGCUCAACCCGUGAACUGCAUUUGAAACUGUUUCCCUUGAGUGUCGGAGAGGUAAUCGGAAUUCCUUGUGUAGCGGUGAAAUGCGUAGAUAUAAGGAAGAACACCAGUGGCGAAGGCGGCUUACUGGACUGUAACUGACGUUGAGGCUCGAAAGCGUGGGGAGCAAACAGG
rnacentral:rRNA from 1 species